UUAGGAAUCUUCCCCAAUGGGCGCAAGCCUGAGGGAGCGAUACCGCUUGAAGGACGAAGCCCCUCGGGGUGUAAACUUCUGAACUCGGGACGCGGUACCGAGGUAAUAGCACCGGCUAACUCCGUGCCAGCAGCCGCGGUAAUACGGAGGGGCAAGCGUUACCCGGAUUUACUGGGGUAAAGGGCGUGUAGGCGGUCUCUUUAGUCCGAUGCUAAAGACCGAGGCUCACCUCGGGAGUGCGUUGGAUACUGUGAGGCUAGACGGUCGGAGAGGGUAGCGGAAUUUCCGGAGUAGCGGUGAAAUGCGCAGAUACCGGAAGGAACGCCAAUAGCGAAAGCAGCUACCUGGACGAUUGGUGACGCUGAGGCGCGAAAGCGUGGGGAGCAAACCGGAUUAGAUACCCUUGUAGU
rnacentral:rRNA from 1 species